rnacentral:lncRNA from 1 species
CGCCGUUUAGAUUCGUCUUAUGUAAUAGGUUUUGUAAAUAGUCUACGUUUAAUACUCCUAAUUAGUAUCUAAACAUUCGAUGUGACGGGUGCUAAAGUUUAGCAACAGCCCUAAGUAUCCAGGCACGCCCUCCCCUCGGCGCUCCUAUGAGGGGCGACCCGAGGUGCACCCCACCCAGCAGCCCGUAGAUCCCCGUAGGUUUUGUAAAUAGUCUACGUUUAAUACUCCUAAUUAGUAUCUAAACAUUCGAUGUGACGGGUGCUAAAGUUUAGCAACAGCCCUAAGUAUCCAGGCACGCCCUCCCCUCGGCGCUCCUAUGAGGGGCGACCCGAGGUGCACCCCACCCAGCAGCCCGUAGAUCCCCGCCGGCCGUUCCUCAGCCCGUAGAUCCCCGCCGGCCGUUCCUCGCGGGCUGCAGCCGGCCGGCAGCGGUGGCGGCGACCAGUGGCGGGACCAAGCGGCUCCCGUCGCAUCUUCUUCCUCCCUCUGCAUCCUUACCUGUGUCUCCUCUCCAUCCAUGGUGCUCGCCGGCGUUGAGGGACUGGUGGUGCAGCUGCCGGGCUGGCCGCCGGAUCUACCCCUUGCCUGCAUGGAUCUGCACGUCGGUGGGUAGGAGUGCUCGCUGCAAUGCUCCGCGUGCGGUUCGGGCCAGCGCGGUGGCAGGGGCAGCUGGACCUGCUCGUCGGGGUUCGCUCUCGUCAUCUCGCACGGAGACAACGCGGGUGAACCAGCGGCCCCCACCGUGAGGGCCGCCGGCGGUGGAUCCGCAAUCCGCUGCAACCGCAUCUGGUCUCCCAUGGCCGGCUGGCCGGUUUCCUUCCGGAUCUGCGCUGGGCCCCUAGGGGAGCGAUGGUGCGCGACUGCGCCGACGUGCGGCCAUACAUGGCUGUGCUGGCCACGUGCAGCUUCGGCGUUCCCACCAGUGGACAAGGUGCCAAUUGGUGCAGAUCCGAAGAAGUCGUGCUUGGGGAGGAGGGCCGGUAACUACGGCCACAAUUGUUGUGCAUGCAACGUAUGCUCAAGAACUCGUCGGGCGGCGGGUAUGGAAUGGGACUCACUUCGUCGACGUUGGGCCUUACGCGCUUCUGCCUCCAGCGAUUGGCAUGGGACGCGUCUCAUCGACUCUUAGGGCUGUGUUGUGGUGGGCUAGGAUGCGCCGGCGAAAAUCAUGGCGACGACGCUUUUGGGCGUCGUUUUCCUUCUUGGAGGCGCCACCCCGAACCCCACUCCAUCACUAGAUUUCCAUGUGAAAACUUUGUCCCAGUGGACAACGACGGCGGCGAUUAUCGUCAUGCGUCCUUUUGGAGACUUUUUGAGUGGUGAUGCAUUUCAUGCGGGUAAUGUGGGGUUGUCCAACUCGGAUUCUUCAACAAUUACUAGUAUUUUGCUUAUCCCCAUUGCUCCAGAGUGGAAGUGUGGAUGUCUUUGCUGUGAUCUUGUUUUGGUGGUCAGAGCAUCAGUUAGCAGAUGAAAUUGUUACUCUUCCCCAUGAGUAGAUUUGACUCAUGCUUCAGUUCCGCUUUCACCUGAUGUGGAGAAGUUGGUUCAUUUGGAGGCAACUUUACGAAACAUGCUACGAAUGGAGAUUACUAGAGUAGCUUGCUGGAGAUUUUGAGUCUCUUCUUUUACUUUUAUUUUGUUACUUGUCUUAGAUACAUAAUCUGAUGUAGCCAAACAUGUUCACUUGGAACAUAUAUUUUUCUUCGUAAUACUUGUGGUCUGAUGCAUUCUCGAAAGAGAAUGUUUGAAGUUGGAAUUUUAUCUUCC